rnacentral:tRNA from 1 species
GGGCCAGUGGCGCAAUGGAUAACGCGUCUGACUACGGAUCAGAGAAUUCUAGUUUCGACGACUCCUGGCUGGCCUC